rnacentral:lncRNA from 1 species
AAAAGAAGACAAAAGCCAAAAUAAAAUUUGCUAUCUUCUACUCAACAAACUGAGCUAACUCCAUCUCUGAUGACACUCCUGUGACUCAAACUGAAGAGAAAUUUGGCCUGAGAUGACUUUUGUCAUGAUGUGCUGCUUAAAAGACUUCUUUGCUUUGCAUUCCCAACUGUAGCCUCACAGGAAAUUCAGUCCCUGGCAAGCUUCAGACAGGAAACAUUCUGAGGAAUUUCUUCCAUACAGUUGUGUUUCCAUGUGGGACCACAGAAAAGGCUGGGGAGUCACAUCCCUUCCCAAGAGAAGGCCACAUGCUGGCUUUGCACACUUUGCCACUGGUUUGAAGCAAUGAGGAGCACUGGGGAGCUGUCCUAUCACAGGACACAACACAGCCCUCUCAUCUUUGCUGCAAAGAGCUUGCAACUGAAUCGAGCAAGCUAAUUUCCAGUGGAUGGGAGGGAGGGAGGGUUGAAAAUUGA